GGCUCAGUGGUCUAGUGGUAUGGUUCUCGCUUUGGGUGGCGAGAGGCCACGGGUUCGAUUCCCGUCUAAGCCC
rfam:Nematostella vectensis strain CH2 x CH6 NEMVEscaffold_39_Cont6475, whole genome shotgun sequence.